rnacentral:misc_RNA from 1 species
AAAAAAAAAAAAAAACCAGAGAAAAAAAAAAAUGGAAAUUAGAUUAAAAAUUCAAAAAAAAAAUUCUUGAACACGUCACAAAAACAGCACAAAAUCAAAGAUGAUCCACAGUCUAGCGACCUCCUCUUUCACCUCCAGCUCACGGCUCAUCCUCAUCUCCUCCUCUCUUUCCAAACCCUUUCCAUCUCUCCCCAAAAAGCUCCAAUCUUCUUCUUCUAAACCUCUUGCUUCCCCUCAAAACUCUCGACCCAUCUCCUAUUACCGCCCCCCAAUGAAUAUUCUCAACAAACUCGGUUUCGGCACAAGGUCCCCUGACCCAUCCACCAUGGACCCAACAAUCCCUCAGGGCCCCGACGACGACUUGCCAGCCCCUGGCCAACAGUUCGCUCAGUUUGGAGCUGGUUGCUUCUGGGGGGUUGAAUUGGCCUUCCAGAG